GCUUCCCACCGUUAUUAUUGCACUGUGAAUACUAUGGAUUUGCAGCAUUAACAAGUGAUGACUAGGACUCAGCUCAGAGAGGAGGAGAGGAGAGGCUACUGAAGGUUCAUGCCUCCACCCCCAGUUACCCAGUGUUGGUUUCAUCUACCUGCUGCCCUACUGCAGAAUCAGAAAGUGGGAAUCUGCUUUGUGGCGGGAUGACGUUCACCAAGCAUCGUUCAGGGCUGGUUCACCAUGAUGCCUGUCCAAACCCCUGAGCACCUAGUGUCUGUACCACACAUGAUAACCACAGGAAAAAUGGUUAUCCAGACCAGCCCUUUAACUCAAGAAUCACAAAUGCAACAUCUAGCAUGGAGAAGCAGGACAGCCCUUCGUAUGUUUGAAGACUGCUCUCUCAUGCCCUCUGCCUUUCUUCCUGAGACCUUCCUGGAAUCAUAGCUCUUCUCUCUGUGCUCAUUCUGUCUGACCCUUCUAAAACGCAAAGAUUGGUACCAACCAGCAUCCUCCUGGGUCAGGAGCAAGGACAGCGAAACCAUGACCACUGAAGUGUUUCUUUUUAACUACAAAUCAUCUAAACUCUCCUUAAAAUUAUUCAAUCUUUUUCCAGGCAAAGAGAUUUUCUUUGGUGAAGAGAAAAAUUGCUUAAAGUGGUUUGACCCACACCUCUCUCUCUGGCCUCCUUCCUCUUCCUAGAAAUCCAGCUAUUGAUUCAGCUUCUACUCAUGCCUGUAAUCUCUUGCUCAAGCGUCACUUCCUCAACGAAGCCGUCUCAGACCAGCUACCAGUCUGGGUCAAGCUCCUCUGUUGAAUGAUAUUUUCCUUUAGAACAUUCAGCUCUGUCUGUAAUUACACACAGUUACUGUGACUUCGUUAUUUGAUGCCUGUGUCCCCGUCUAGAUUGAUAAGCUCUGUGAGAGCAGAGUGCAAGCCUGUAUAGCCUAGCCCAGCUAAUAAAUGGGUAGGUGGUGAGUUGUGAGUGAAUGUGUAGGGGAGUCUGACUUGUCAAUAUUCUGCUUUAUUAUCAGAACAAAUGAAAACUCCAGUUUUUGGUCAUUUUCAUAUGGCUGGAUACCUUCCCCUUCUCAACCUGGCACUUGUAGAAUAAAUUUUAUAACCUAAAUGCAAGACCAGUAUGUAUGUCUCUUAAAGGAUACCUUGACAACUUUACCCUGCAUUCUAGUUUAGUAAACCA
rnacentral:lncRNA from 10 species